UACGAAGGGGGCUAGCGUUGCUCGGAAUUACUGGGCGUAAAGCGCACGUAGGCGGCUUCUUAAGUCGGUGGUGAAAUCCUGGAGCUCAACUCCAGAACUGCCUUCGAUACUGGGAAGCUCGAGUCCGGGAGAGGUGAGUGGAACUGCGAGUGUAGAGGUGAAAUUCGUAGAUAUUCGCAAGAACACCGGUGGCGAAGGCGGCCAACUGGACGAGUACUGACGCUGAGACACGAAAGCGUGGGGAGCAAACAGG
rnacentral:rRNA from 1 species